CGUGGGUAACCUGCCCAAGAGAUCGGGAUAACACCUGGAAACAGAUGCUAAUACCGGAUAACAACAGAUGAUGCCUAUCAACUGUUUAAAAGAUGGUUCUGCUAUCACUCUUGGAUGGACCUGCGGUGCAUUAGCUAGUUGGUAGGGUAACGGCCUACCAAGGCGAUGAUGCAUAGCCGAGUUGAGAGACUGAUCGGCCACAUUGGGACUGAGACACGGCCCAAACUCCUACGGGAGGCGGCAGGC
rnacentral:rRNA from 1 species